ACGAACGCUGGCGGCGUGCUUAACACAUGCAAGUCGAACGGAAAGGCCCUGCUUUUGUGGGGUGCUCGAGUGGCGAACGGGUGAGUAACACGUGAGUAACCUGCCCUUGACUUUGGGAUAACUUCAGGAAACUGGGGCUAAUACCGGAUAGGAGCUCCUGCUGCAUGGUGGGGGUUGGAAAGUUUCGGCGGUUGGGGAUGGACUCGCGGCUUAUCAGCUUGGUGGUGGGGUGGUGGCUUACCAAGGCUUUGACGGGUAGCCGGCCUGAGAGGGGGACCGGGCACAGUUGGGAAGGGGAGCGGCCCGAGGCGCCUCGGGGGGGAGGGGGGGGGAAAUGUGGGAGAAGGGGCGGGGGCGUGAUGCAGCACCGCGGGGGGGGGGAGGCGGGCAUUGGGGUUGAAACACGUUGUCCCUUGUGAGGAAGGGGGGGAGGGGGAAUGGGGAAAAAAACACCGGGAAAUCUGGG
rnacentral:rRNA from 1 species